rnacentral:pre_miRNA from 1 species
AUGUAGGGCAAUCUGUUUUUAAGUAGGGAUAAAUUACUCUAAAAAAAUGAAUCCUAGUUUUUCCCUUCAAGUGUCUUGU